UGGUGUGAGUGGUCCUUUGACCUACGAUGUCAUCGACUAUUCACAAUGAGGCUAUUCGGUUUGACUGCACGUUUUCUUGGUCCCUAGCCAUUCGGAUCCUUAUUGUGUAUGUUGGCUACAGUAGAUUUAGAUUCGCUGUUUAUAUUAUGAUGCAUCUAGAAGAAAUCUAUCGACCUUGGUAGAAAAGGAGAAGUCCUAUGUGAUUCACGAGACUGAGUUCAAAAAAUCUUUGGUCAAAGCAAGUGUGAAUACUGAAAAA
rnacentral:lncRNA from 1 species